rnacentral:rRNA from 1 species
GUAGGUGGCAAGCGUUGUCCGGAAUUAUUGGGCGUAAGGCGCGCGCAGGCGGUUCUUUAAGUCUGAUGUGAAAGCCCACGGCUCAACCGUGGAGGGUCAUUGGAAACUGGAGAACUUGAGUACAGAAGAGGAAAGCGGAAUUCCACGUGUAGCGGUGAAAUGCGUAGAGAUGUGGAGGAACACCAGUGGCGAAGGCGGCUUUCUGGUCUGUAACUGACGCUGAGGCGCGAAAGCGUGGGGAGCAAACAGGAUUAGAUACCCUGGUAGUCCACGCCGUAAACGAUGAGUGCUAAGUGUUAGGGGGUUUCCGCCCCUUAGUGCUGCAGCUAACGCAUUAAGCACUCCGCCUGGGGAGUACGGCCGCAAAGGCUG